rnacentral:rRNA from 1 species
UGGGGAAUCUUGCACAAUGGGGGAAACCCUGACGCAGCGACGCCGCGUGAGCGAUGAAGCCCUUCGGGGCGUAAAGCUCUUUCGGCAGGGACGAUAAUGACGGUACCUGAAGAAGAAGCUGCGGCUAACUACGUGCCAGCAGCCGCGGUAAUACGUAGGCAGCGAGCGUUGUUCGGAGUUACUGGGCGUAAAGAGUGCGUAGGCUGUGGUCCAAGUCUGGUGUGAAAUCUCCCGGCUUAACCGGGAGGGUGCGCCGGAAACUGGGCUGCUAGAGUACUGGAGAGGCAAGCGGAAUUCCUGGUGUAGCGGUGAAAUGCGUAGAUAUCAGGAGGAACACCCGUGGUGUAGACGGCUUGCUGGACAGUCACUGACGCUGAGGCACGAAAGCGUGGGGAGCAAACAGGAUUAGAUACCCUGGUAGUCCACGCCCUAAACGAUGCAUACUUGGUGUGGGCAGUUCAGUCUGUCCGUGCCGAAGCUAACGCG